UACGAAGGGGGCUAGCGUUGUUCGGAGUUACUGGGCGUAAAGGGCGCGUAGGCGGCGCAUCAAGUCAGGCGUGAAAGCCCUGGGCUCAACCCGGGGAUUGCGCUUGAGACUGGUGUGCUUGAGUACGGGAGAGGAUAGUGGAAUUCCCAGUGUAGAGGUGAAAUUCGUAGAUAUUGGGAAGAACACCAGUGGCGAAGGCGGCUAUCUGGACCGCAACUGACGCUGAGGUGCGAAAGCGUGGGGAGCAAACAGG
rnacentral:rRNA from 1 species